GGAUUAGUGGCGAACGGGUGAGGAACACGUGAGAAACCUGCCUCGGAUUUUGGGAUAACAAUUGGAAACGAUUGCUAAUACCGGAUGACGUCGGAGAACCGCAUGGUUCACUGACGAAAGAUAUUUCGGUUUGGGAGGGUCUCGCGGCCUAUCAGCUAGUUGGUGAGGUAAAGGCUCACCAAGGCGACGACGGGUAGCCGGCCUGAGAGGGCGACCGGCCACACUGGGACUGAGACACGGCCCAGACUCC
rnacentral:rRNA from 1 species